AAAAAGUUUUAUUUUAGCUUGGGAUUUUGGUUAUUCUUUUUUGUAUAUGUAAAUUUUAAUUAAAGAGUUAUUAGGCAGUAUUUAAUUUUAAAUAUUAAUGUAAGUUAGAUUUAGCAAUUGUGUUUUAUAUUAACUAAAUUUGUGCCAGCAGUUGCGGUUAUACAGGUAAUAUACUAAAAUUUUUCAUUAUUUGGUUAAAAUAUUUAAUUAAUAGUUUAUAUUUAUUUUUAGGUGAAAUUUUAAUAAUUUUUAAUUUAUAAAUAUUUUGUUUCAUGAAAUUCAUUUUUAAGACUAGGAUUAGAUACCCUAUUAUUUUGAACUUAAAUUUUAUAUUAGUAUUAGUUAUGUUCUUGAAAAUAAAAAAAUUUGGCGGUGCUUUAGUCUUUUCAGAGGAACCUGUCCUUUAAACGAUAGUCCACGAUUAAUUGUACUUAAAUUUAUAAAUUUGUAUAUCGUCGUGGUUGAAUAUUUUAUUAGAAUAAAUAUUCAUUUUUUAUAUUUGAACUUACAUCAGAUCAAGGUGCAGUUUAUAUUUAAGUAGAGAUGGGUUACAAUAAAUUUAUUUAUAUGGUUGUUGUUUUGAAAAAUUAACUUAAAGUGGAUUUGGAAGUAAUUUUUUAUUAUAUAUAAGUUAUGAUUAAGCUCUAAAGUGUGCACAUAUCGCCCGUCGCUCUCAUUUAAUUUGAGAUAAGUCGUAACAUAGUAGGCGUACUGGAAAGUGUGCCUGGGAUU
rnacentral:ncRNA from 1 species